AAAAAGCUGUUCAAAUGGAUUUUAUGGAUUUAAAUGCAGAAGUAAAUGCAGCUUUCCAAGAUUUGGACAGCAAUGCAAGCAUACUUGCAAUUGUGAUGAACAGUUCUGCAAUUAUGCUAAUGGAUGUUCUGCACCAGCUGAAAAGUGUUCCGUUGGAUAUAUUGGACGUGAUUGUUCAACACCGUGUGUAUUUCCUAAAUUUGGAUUAGGUUGCCAAAAUACUUGUCUAUGUCCGAAGUCUCGAUGCAAUAUUACUUCAGGCUGUUUCAUGAGAGAACAAAAACCCUUGGCGAAAUCCAUUGUCACGAGACACCAAUUCUCUGUUAUGCGGACAAACAGCGUUUUUGUGAAAAGGAUUUCAAUUAAAGGUAA